AUGCCCUAGGGCUAGUGGAAGACUUAAGAUGGCGGCGUUUGCACGGAGUGCAAUCACUGCGUCCUUACGGGGGUUGCAAGGCGUCCGAAGUAUGAGUCCACUAACAAAAGUCCAGAAACUCGCCAGUUAAUAGUAUUGUGUCUCUUCAAAAUAUCGGAGAAUAAUUUCUUUCUCGCUGAUCGCCUAACUUCUACUGACGAAGCUUGGAAGUUGCAGAAGCCAGACAUGAUGUAUUGAGUAAAAGGAACUUCGGUACACAGGCCUUUAGUGAUGUGGUGGUAAGAUGUAUGGUAAGUGGAAAUGUUCUGUAUACCUACGAUUAAUUCUUAGCCUGUGCUCCUGGGCUGCGAACUUUGCAACUGCUUCUCAGUCUUCUCUAUCCUCCACUUAUAUGGGAUAUGAUGGCUAGAGGGGGCUGAGUUGGGUAGUUCCUUUACCCCAAGAGAAAGGCUAGAGGGGCAGGUAAUGGGUAUUUCCCUUUCUCCAGGUCAGUUAGGCUCUAAUUAAGUAGUUUGUCUUGAGUGGAGGCCUUGAUAUGAACAGAAUGCUGUUAUGUAUUUCAAAAUGGUUGUAUGUUCUUCCCCUGCUGGAAGUGAGACAGGAAAAGUUCCCUUGUUCCCCUCGCAGGGCACGCGAUGAGGGUGUGGAUUGCUUCUUCAGUGCCUGCUGGCUCAAAACUCUAGGUGGAGCAUGCAGUCAGGCAGGCUGCGGGGCUCUGACCCCACGGCAGUGUCUAGGGUUGAAUUUUGUUUUUGUUUUUUGAGAUGGAGACUCACUCUGUUGCCCAGGCUGGAGUGUAGUGGUGCGAUCUCGGAUCAUUGCAACCCCCGCCUCCCAGGUUCAGGCGAUUCUCCUGCUCAGCCUCCCAAAUAGCUGGGAUUACAGGCGUGUGCCACCAUGCCUGGCUAAUUUUUGUAUUUUUAGUAGAGACAGGAUUUCACCAUGUUGGUCAGGCUGGCCUUGAACUCCUGACCUCGUGAUCCACCUGCCCCAGCCUCCCAAAGUGCUGGGAUUACAGGCAGGAGCCACUGCACCCGGCCCUCUAGGAGUGAAUGUUUACAGCUGAAGCCCCAGUGGGCAUUUGUUACAGGGUGCUCUUUUAGUUUAGCCGUCCAUAGGUAGCUUGUGUUAGUCAGCACAAUUAAACCCCCUGCCUUAUGGCAAGGACAGAGAACUUUCUGUAUCCUGGGGUUCUUGCCUUGUUGUACUGGAAGAAUUGGAUCACACGUGGGCUUGAGUGCAAGGUUUUAUUGAGUGGAAGUAGCUCCAACAGAUAGGGUUGCCAGAAGAGAUAGGGUUUUCCCCUGGCGUUAGGCUGCUUGGUUGCCCAGGCUCUCCUCCGACUGCCCAGGCCAAACUCCACGUCAUUCAACCGGUCAUUUGAUGGCCUGCCAGCAUCUGUUGGUGUGCUCUUCCACUGGCAUCCUCCCCUUGACGUCCUCUUGACGUCCAGCCGCUUGUGUCUUCUGCUGCUGCUGUGUUCCUUUCAACGUCCAGCUGCUUGUGUCUCUGCCUGCUAGGGUCUUGGGGUUUUUUUUGUUUGAUUGAGAUGGAGCCUUGCUCUGUCAUCCAGGCUGGAGUGCAGUGGUGCGAUCUCGGCUCACCACAACCUCCACCUCCCCAGUUCAAGCGAUUCUCCUGUCUCAGCCUCUUGAGUAGCUGGAAUUACAGGCACCUGCCACUAGGCCUGGCUAAUAUUUUUUCUUUUUUGUGUGUAUUUUUAGUAGAGUCAGGGUUUCACCAUGUUGGCCAGGCUGGUCUUGAACUCCUGACCUCAGGUGUUCCACCCACCUCGGCCUCCCAAAGUGCUGAGAUUACAGGCGUGAGCCAUUGCGCCUGGCACAUUACUUCUUUAAGUGUGGUUUUCUUUAGUUCUCUGAACAUGUUUGUAUUAGCUUCCUUGAUGUCUUUGUCUGCUGUGUUUGAGAUCUGUGCUUUUGCGUUGGCGAGCCCCAGCACAAGGGUAGUUUCAGUGAUUUGCAAGGACCCACAGGACUGGCGUAUAAUUGUACUCAUGGAUAUGAGUUAUUCCUGUGAAAGGAUACAAAGCAAAAUCAGCGAAGGGAAAAGAUGUCUGGGGCUAAAGUUUGUUAGAGCCAGGUGCAAGCCUCCAAGUGUUCUCUUCCAAGUAUGGUCACACAGGACAUACCUCAUUUCUCCAGGAAUGCAUUCUGAGAACACAUAUGAAGUGUUGUCUACUAGGGAAGCUCAUUAGAGGCUCAGUGACCAUAGCUUUUAUUGGGGGCUGGUCAUGCAGGCACCCUUUGCCUAGCACAUAGCAAAAUUCCAGGCUUGCGGAAGGAAAGCAGGUGUUCAGCACAAACCCCAUUGUUUAUACAGUUUAGCCACAGUGAGCCAUUCUUAUCAGGGAAUAGUGGCAACUCUCUUGAAAUCCAGGUUCUCAGAUGCCAGCUAAGGGCCAUCCUUGAAGGCAGGCCUUUUUAAGUAUAACAGUCUUGGGCCUCAAAUGUAAACUCUAUAUCACCUUCUCAAGGCAUUUUUCUGUUACUUGCUUUUUGGUUUCUUAUAUGAAUCUCACUUUUUUUAAAAAAUACCUCAUACUUUUUGCUGAAACCUACAAAUUUUAGAUAAUAUAUUGCAGUGAUUUCUGGAUACUGCUACCCCCUCCUCUACUGUGGGGCUCAUUGGUAUUGUUUACUUCUUUGUUUAGUUAUUUGCCAGAACUUAUAGUGUUUUUUUUGUUGUUGUUGUUUUUUGGUUUUUUUUUUUUUUUUUUUUGAGACGGAGUUUUUGCUCUGUUGCCCAGGCUGGAGUGCAAUGGCACGAUCUCGGCUCACAGCAACCUCCGCCUCCUGGGUUCAAGCGAUUCUCCUGCCUCAUCCUCCAGAGUAGCUGGGAUUAGAGGUGCCCGCCACCAUGCCUGGCUAAUUUCUGUAUUUUUAGUAGAGAGGAGGUUUCACCGUGUUGGCCAGGUUGGACUCGAACUCUUGACCUCAGGUGAUCCACCCGCCUCAGUCUCCCAAAGUGCUAGGAUUACAGGUGUGAGCCACCGCGCCUGGCUGUGAUGUGUUUUUUAACCUACAGUGUACAUCCUUUGGUGUCCCUCUUUAGUGGGACAGCUUUGGGAAUAAGCAUAGUCACUAUGGAAUGAUUGGUUUUAGCAGGGCUGUCUUUCAGUGUCUUUUUCUAAUUUCUCUGUUAAUCUGUCAGCCUCUGUUAUCUCACCUAAUCAUUAGUUUGCACUAAUUUCAGACUGAUUACUCUAUUGGUUUUGACCAUGUCCAGGGGCAUAAAUUGCCUAACUAUGUGAUCCAAAUUUGGGCCCUUUUAUAGAGAUAGUAUUUGAGACCAACCUUUGAGGUUGGCUCAGAUCCCAGGUAGGCUCUUAUUUGUCUUUUUCUCUGGGUCUCUGGCUGUCUUCUAGCUGGUGUUUCUAUAGCUUGUUGCUCUCAAGUAGUUACUAAUCUUCUCUUAAUAGCUUACCACCCAAAUCUCUAUUGUUAUUGGGAACAUCCUUAGGCUUUUUUUUCUCCCCAUUGUGUUCCAAAUUAAGUCAUUUAUUUUGGGGAUACCUUCAGAACUCUGUUAUUGCAGCCUGCCUUUCCCCUCGGGCAAAACCUCUGCAUUGCUGCUCUGGAGCUGAGGGCAAGGAAACUGUCUCAGUUUUCCCUGUGACGCAAGCAAGGUGUUUGGCAGGGGAAGAUGGCCUCUGGUUUUCCUAAAUGUCACCCUAAGGUUAAGUCUUCCCUUUGUGCUAUGUCUCAGAGAAUGUUUCCACAUUAUUGUUUCUUUCUCAGUAGUGGUCCUCUUGGUGUUGCUAUAUGACAUUUUUAGCCUGGUCACUGGUUGGCAGGAGUGUGCCCUAUCUGUUGUUUUAUUAAUUAAGGCUUAGUUUUAGGCACCAGUGUCCUGGGGUCUCGUGGUUGUGUUAUACUCAGUACUCCUGCCUCUUCCUCCUGCUGUAAUUUUGGACCCAUUGUGUAUUUCUGCUCUUUCUUCAUAGCUAAUUUUUUUUUUCUCUCUAUUUCAUUCUCCCAGGGUCACAGUUUUUACAACUAUCCUAAUGGCCACAGUGUUUGUUGCCCUUCCUCCCACUGAGUAAGGACUUUGUUUUGUAGAUGGAGUAGGAUCUGAACAGAUUUCUUUGACCUUCCCAAAACAGAUUUUGUUCCCCUCUCCCAGGUGUGUACCUUGAGGGUAGUUUCUCAAGACUGUCAUCAAUCUUUUGUGUGAUCUCUUGAAUGGGUUAGUGGAGAAAAUACCUGAAUAGUCUGCAGACCUCUCAAUUCUGUGCUGCCCCACCCUGGGCUUCAUACUUACUUGCCAGUUAACACUUACCCUUUGCCAAUUGACCAACCAUUUUAGUUGAUCUCUUACUGAUGUCUGGUUGCAUCUACUUUCACAGGUAAGCCGGGGGUGUGUCUCAUCAUUCCUUUGGGGCACCACAACUUAGAUUUUGGUUGGCCCCAGUAAGACUCCUGUCUCUGGGGGAUUCAAGGAAAGUUGUGAACUUCUUUCCUAUUCUCCUACCCUCUUUAUUUGUAAGGGUGAAAGUGAUGCUCUCUCUAGCUCUCUACCUACCAGAACCAGAUGAUGUUUUCUAGUCUAGUCUGGUACUGUCUUUCACUUACUGUGAAGCCCCAUUAUAUUUACUGUGAUUUUCUUCAUAUUGUUGGAUUUAUAUCUCUAAUUUAAAAAAAUGAUUUGGUUUGGAAUGGUUUUUUCAUAAUGCAAUCCAAAGUAUCAUAGUCCCCAUGGUUUCUUAGUCUUUCCCUGUUUCUCAUGACCUUGACAGAUUUAAAAAGUGUACUGGUUAGGUAUUUGGUAGAAUAUUUCUCAAUUUGGAUUUGUCUGAUAUAGUCUCAUGAUUAAAUGAUAUGAAUUUUGGGGAAGAAUACCACACAGAUAUACCAUUCUCAUAGCUUCAUAUCAGGAUAUAUAUGUAUACAUACACACACACAUAUACACACAUAUACAUACAUGUAUACAUAUACGCACAUAUAUACAUAUAUACAUAUACACACGUAGACAUGUAUACAUAUACACACGUAGACAUGUAUACACAUACACACGUAGACAUGUAUACACACGUAGACAUGUAUACACAUACACACGUAGACAUGUAUACACACACGUAGACAUAAAUGCAUGCAUAUACACACGUAGACAUAAAUGCAUGCAUAUACACGCGUAUACAUAUAUGCGUGCAUAUACGCACGUAUACAUAUAUGCGUGCAUAUACGCACGUAUACAUAUAUGCGUGCAUAUACGCACGUAUACAUAUAUGUGUGCAUAUACGCACGUAUACCUAUAUGUAUGCAUAUACACAUGUAUACAUAUAUACACACAUAUAUGUAUACAUACAUAUAUAUAUAUAUAUAUACACGAUUUUAGCAUUACUUAUUACUGAGGAUGUUACUCUUAAUCACUUAGUUCAGGUUGCCCGGUUUCUCCACUGUAAAGUUACUGUUUUUCUGUUUCCAUCCUCUAUGCUUUGGAAGUGAGUUACUAAAUUUAGUCCACAUUUAAGGGAAGCAGAAUUAACCUCCAUAUCUGGAGGGGUAUCUACCUGUAUAUAUGUAUUUAUUUUUGGGAAAUUUUCUCUAAGGAAGAUUUUUUUUCUCUCCCUUAUUUAUUUGGUCAUCUGUUUCUAUCAUUCUGGAUUCGUGAAUAAUUAUUAAUUUGUUAAUUAUACAUAAUCCCACAUCUUUUUUUUGGAGCUAUUGCUUACUUUCUGGUACAAGGUAGUAUAGGCUUAUCUUGUAUUCUCCCUGCACCAGCCUUACUUUUAGCCAUUUUAAUAAGGAGCCCGGGUACUUUUUAUUGAAAAAUACAUUUAGAAACCAUGGUCUGAGCACUGAGUGCCCUUUUAGUUACUGAGGUAGCACUGAUUCUGUACCUCCUAAACAGAAAGCUAGAAAAUAUAUGUAUGCAUAGUAAUGUUUGGAUCUAUUUAAUUAUUUUUACAUACACAUGUAUGUAGCUAUGUGUCCAUUAAAGUAAACAUGAAUGUACAGUGAUAUCUGACUCUUAUUUGAGAUUAGCUCUCAUACUUGCUUAUUUUAUUUAUAUAUUUAUUUUUUGAGACCGAGUCUUGCUCUGUUGCCCAGGCUGGAGUGCAGUGGCAUGAUCUCGGCUCACUGCAACCUCUGCCUCCCGGGUUCAAGUGACUCUUCUGCUCCAGCCUGGGCAACUGAGCAAGACUCUGUCUCCAAAAAAAAAAAAAAAACAAAACAGUCUGGGUGCUGUGGCUCACACCUGUAAUCCCAGCGCUUUGGGAGGCCGAGGUGGGCAGAUCAUGAGGUCAGGAGAUCGAGACCAGCCUGGCCAACGUGGUGAAACCUCGUCUCUACUAAAAAUACAAAAAAUUAGCCAGGCAUAGUGGUGCGCACCUGUAAUCCCAGCUACUUGAGAGGCUGAGGCAGGAGAAUCGCUUGUACCCAGGAGGCGGAGGUUGCAGUGAGCAGAGAUCGCACCAUUGCACUCCAGCCUGGGUGACAGAGCAAGACUUAGUCUCAAAACAACAACAACAACAACAAAACUUCUUUCUCUAAUAGUAAGAAAACUGAGUCCUGUUAUCUAUAUUUACUUGUUUGUUCUACUUUACUAUACAUUUAAAGUGGUUUUAUAACUGCCUAAGUUCCUGUAAAAAUUUUAUCAGUUAGCAUUAAUAUUGUACCUUUAUUACAGUUUCUAAAAAUGCUCAAGUGUUUUCACAUUAUUCCUUGUAGAUGUCAUAUAGUUUAUCUUUUUACCUUUAGGUCCAUGAUCCAUUUUAAUUAAUAUUUGAAUGAGCGAGGUAAUAUGUUGUCACUUUUUUUGGUAUGUGGUCCUCUAGUUGUUUCAGCACCUUUUGUUAAAGAGAUUGCAGGCCAUGCACAGUAGCUCACGCCUGCAAUCCCAGCACUUUGGGAGGCCGAGGCCGGCGGAUCACGAAGUCAGGAGUUCGAGACCAGCUUGGCCAAUAUGGUGAAACCCCGUCUCUACUAAAAAUACAAAAAUCAGCCAAGUGUGGUGGCAGGCGCCUGUAGUCCCAGCUACUCGGGAGUCUGAGGCAGGAGAAUCGCUUGAACUCGGGAAGCGGAGGUUGAAGUAAGUCGAGAUGGUGCCACUGCACUCCAGCCUGGGCGACAGAGCGAGACUUGGUCUCAAAAAGAGCUUAUCUUUCCUAUAUUGUAUGGUUUUUGCAUUUGUGUUGAAAAUAACUAGAUUUGCAUGGUAUUUUUCCGGACUGCUUAUUCUUUUCCAUUGAUAUUUGUAUUUAUUGUUUCUCCAAUACCACAUGGUAUUACUAAGUAUUUAUUUUAAGUCUAUAAAUGAGGUAGUAUGAACUUUCAACCUUUUUUAUUUUUCAUGAUUGUUUUCGCUAAUUUCUUUGCUUUUUAACUUAAAUUUUUGAAUAAAUUUGGCAAUAGCUACAAGAAGACGUUGCUGAAAUUUUGGUUGGUAUGUUAUUGAAUCUAUUAGAUGAAAUUGGAGAGCAUUUGUACCUCACUGAGUCUCCUGAUUCAUGAACCUAGUAUUUCCUAUUUAUCCAGAUCUUUUUUCAUUUAUUUCAUCAAUGUUUUGUAGUUUUCAGCCUAUAAAUCCUGACAUAUUUUGUUAGAUUUAACAAAUGAUGUAAGAACUUCAUUUUGGGGGUGCUGUGAUUAAAAUUGUGUUGUUUGUAUUUUUUUCAUUUCAAAUUCCAGUUAUUUAUAGCUGCUGUUAUGUGAACAUGAUUGAUUUUUGUUUAUUGGCCUUGUGUUCUGCAACCUUGUUCAACUCACCAUUUUUGUUCUAAAAGGUUUUUUGUUUUUUUUUGUUUUUGUUUUUUGAGAUGGAGUCUCGCGCUGUUGCCCAGGCUGGAGUGCAGUGGCACGAUCUCUGCUCACUGCAUCCUCCGCCUCCCAAGUUCAAGCGAUUCUCCGGCCUCAGCCUCCCAAGUAGCUGGGAGUACAGGCACCCGCCACCACGCCCAGCUAUUUUUUUGUAUUUUUAGUAGAGACGGAAUCUCACUAUGUUGGCCAGGCUGGUCUUGAACUCCUGACCUUGUGAUCUGCCCCCCCCCCCCCCCCCCCGCCUCCCAAAGUGCUGGAUUACAGGCGUGAACCACCGUGCCCAGCCUAAAAGGUUUUUUUAAAUAUAGAUUAUUUGAUAUUUUCCAGACACACAAUUGUUUUCUGCAAGUAAGAGUCUUUUUUUAUUUCUUCCUUUGCAAUGUAUGUGCCCUAUAAUUGUUUUUCUGGCUUUAUAGGCCUUCUAAUACAAUGUUGAAUAGGGCAGGGUGGGAGGGCAUACUUUACUAGUAGUUUUCCACUCUGCAUGUUACCUGUAGGUCUUUCAUAGAUGCCCUUUAUUAGGUUAAGCACCUCCAUUCUAUUUUUAGUUUUCUGGGAGUUUUUAUUUUGAAAAUAUGUUGAAUUUGCCAAAUGCGUUUUCCUGUAUUGACAUGAUUGUGCGGUCUUCAUUAAAUUAUUGAUACUGAAUUUUAUUUAUUGAUUGUUUUUAAAUGUUGAACCAACUUUGCAUUCCUUGUAUGAAACCCAGCUGAUUGUGAUGUAUUAUUAUUUUUUUUUUUUUUGAGACGGAAUCUUGCUCUGUCACCCAGGCUGGAGUGCAGUGGCACUAUCUCGCUCACUGCAAGCUCCGCCUCCUGGGUUCACGCCAUUCUCCUGCCUCAGCCUCCCGAGUAGCUGGGACUACAGGUGCCCGCCACCAUGCCCGGCUAAUUAUUUUUUGUAUUUUUAGUGAGAUGGGGUUUCACCGUGUCAGCCAGGAUGGUCUCGAUCUCCUGACCUCGUGAUCCACCCGCCUUGGCCUCCCAAAGUGCUGGGAUUACAGGCAUGAGCCACCAUGCCUGGCCUAUCAUUUUUUUAUAUUGCUGGAUUUGAUUUGUAAAUAUUUUGUUGACAAGUUUCUAUUUAUGCCCAUUAGAUUGACUUGUAGUUUCCUAUUUAAAUUUUUUUUAAACACUGUGUAUAUUAUAUAUUUGGGGCACAGUGUGAUAUUUUGAUAUAUGUUUAUAUCAUGGAAUGAUUGAAUCAGCCUAAUUAAAUCCAUUACCUCACAUACUUACCAGUUUUUUAAUGGUGAAAACAAUUAAAAUCUAAUCUAUUAGCAAUUAUGAAAAAUGCAGUACAUUAUUAUUUAUUAUACUCACCAUUGUGUGCAGUAGAUCAACAUCUCCCCUUUCCCCGUCCACCUCACUUUUCCAGUCACUGGUAACCACUAUUCUACUCUAUGUCUAUGAGUUUGACUUUCUUAGAUUCUACAUAUAAGUGAGAUCUUGUGGUAUUUGUCUUUUGGUGCCUGGCUUUUUUCACUCACAUGAUGUCCUCCAGGUUUAUCCAUGUUGUCACAAAUAACAGGAUUUCCUUCUUUUUUAAGGCUGAAUAGUAUUCUGUUAUGUACGUAUAUCAUAUUUUCUUUAUUCAUUUAUCUGAUGAUGGACAUGUAAGUUGCUCCUAUAUCUUAGCUAUUGCAAAUAAUGAUGUAAUGAACACAAGAGUGCAGAUAUCUCUUUGACAUACUGAUUUCAAUUCCUUUGGAUAUGUACCCAAAAGGGAGAUUGUUGAAUUAUCUGUAAAUUUAUUUUUAGUUUUUUGAGGAACCUGUACUGUUUUCCAUAAUGGCUAUAUUAAUUGACAUUCUUCACCAACUGCACAAGGAUUCCCUUUUGUACACAACCUCACCAACACUUAACAUCUUUUUUGUUUUUGGUAAUAGCCAUGCUAACAGGUAUGAGGUGAUACUUCAUUGUGGUUUUAAUUUGCAAGUGAUAAUGAACAGUUUUUCAUAUGUCCAUUGACCAUUUGUAUGUUUUCUUUUGAGAAAUGUAUGUUUAGGUCCCUUGCCCAUUUUUAAAUUGGGUUCUUGGUUUUCUUGCUAUUGAAUUGUUGGAGUUCCAUAUAUUUUGAAUAUUAGCUCAUUAUUUCAUAUGUGAUUUGCAAAUAUUUUAUCCCAGUUUGUGGGUUGUUGCUUUACUCAAUUGUUUCCUUUGCUGUGUAGUUAACUUUUUAGUUUGAUGCAAUCCCAUUUUAAAUUAAAAUUUUUGUUUUAGUUGUCUGUGCUUUUGGAGGUCAUAUUUAUGAAAUCUUUGCACAGACCAAUGUUGUGGAGCAUUUUCCCUAUGUUUUAUUCUAGUAGUUUUACAGUUUCUGGUCUAAUGUCUUUAAUUCAUUUUGAGUUCUUUUCUGUAUAUGGUAUGAGACAAAGGUCUGAUUUGAUUCUUCUAUAUGUGGAUAUACAACUUUCCCAACACCAUUUACUGAAGAGGCUGUCCUUUCUCCAUUGUACGUUCUUGGUACCUUUGUCAAAAGCCACUUUAACGUAAAUGUCUGGGUUUAUUUGUAAUUCUCAUUUGUUGUAAUGUUUUUCUCUGCUUUUGUGAUCAGGGUAAUGCUAGCCUCGUAAUUGGAAUAUGUUUUCUCCCCUUCUAUUUAAUGAACUAAUUGUGUAGAAUUGAUAUUGUUUCUUCCUUGAUUGUUUGGUAGAAUCCACCAUUGAAACCAUGUAGGCCUACAGUUUUUAUCUUUAGGAGGUUUAUAACUUUCAAUUUAACUUAUUUACUAGAAAUAGAGCUAUUCAGGUUUUCUUGGCAAAUUUUGGUAGUCUGUGUCUUUCACAUAAUCAUUCCAUUUCAUGUAACUUAGCAAAUUCAUAGGCAUAGAAUUGUAUUCCUUCAUUAUCCUCUUAAUGUCUUUGGCAUCAUUUUAUGGUACUGAUGAUUUAUAUCUUCUCUAUUUCUGUGAGCCUGGCUAGAGGUUGUUCAGUUUUGUCAGUGUUGUCAAAUAAUCAGCUUUUUUUUUUUUUUUUUUUGAGACAGAGUCUUGCUCUUGUCGCCCAGGCUGGAGUGCAAUGGCAUGAUCUCGGCUCACUGCAACCUCCACCUCCUGGGUUCAAGCGAUUCUUCUGCCUCAGCCUCCGGAGUAGCUGGGAUUACAGGCGCCCGCCACCACACCCGGCUAAUUUUUGUAUUUUUAGUAGAGAUGGGGUUUCGCCAUGUUGGCCAGGCUGGUCUCGAACUCCUGACCUCAGGUGAUCCACCUGCCUUGGCCUCCCAAAGUGCUGGGAUUACAGGCAUGAGCCACCGUGCCCAGCCUCAGCUUUUGGUUUUAUUGAUUUCUUUCUUUUGUAUGUUUCUGUUUUUUCGUUUUUUGUUUUGGAUUCCUGCUCUCAAUGUUUAUUAUUCCCUUUCUUCAUCUUGCUUUAUAUUUACUUUGCUCUUCUUUCUCUGGUUCCUUUGAGACAAACUUUGGUUACUGACUUUAGAUAUUAUUUUUUAAUGUAUAUAUUGAAUGCUAUAAACUUCCCUGUUAACACUGCUUUGUCUGCAUCCUAUAUGUUUUGAUAUAUUGUAUUUAUAUUGUUCUUUAGUUCAAUCCAUGUUUUAAUUUCUCAUGAGACUUUGUUUGUUACCUAUGUGUUAUUUGAAAGUUUCUUGUUUCAUAUCCAAUUGUUUGAGGGAAUUUUCCAGAUUUUUUUUUUUCAUUUCUAAUUUGUAUGAUCUCAGGAUGCACCUUGUAUUUUUUUCUAUGUUUAAAUAAUUAAUUGAGGUUUAUUUAAUAAGCCAAAACAUGAUCUGUCUUUGUGAAUGCUACAUAUAAUUGAGAAGAAUAUGUAUUCUGUUGUUGCUUAAAGUGUUCUAUCAUUAUAUGAAGUUGUUUGAUAGUAAUGUUCAGGCCUUCCAUAUCAUUUGUGAUUUUUUACUUGUUUUAUUAAUUUCUUAGCAGUGUUCAAAUCUCAAACUAAUUUUAGAUAUGCCUACUUGUUUUUUCAUACCUCAUUUAUUGUCUUAUUCAUUUUGAAAACCUUUGAUUAGGUGCGUAUACCUAUAAGAUUAUUAUGUGUUCUUGGGGAAAUAACUGUCUUUUCAUGAGGUUUCUCUUUAUCCUUUGAUAAUCUUUCCUGUUCUGAUGUCUAUUUUGUUUCAUAUUAAUAAAUAUUUUCAACCUAUUUCUUUGGUUAGUGUUUUAUGCUGUAUCUUUCUCCACCCUUGUACUUUUAAUCAUUGUAUGCCUUUAUAGUUUGUGUAUGUAUGUAUUUCACAGUAAGUAGGUGGGUGGUUGGGUUUUUAGGUAGGUAAGUAGGCUAAAUAGAUAGGUGGGUUGGCUUGUGUUUUAUUCCAUGUGACAGUGUUCAUCCUUUUACUGGUGGUGUUUAGACCAUUACAAUUUAAAAAAAAACUUUAUUUGGGCAAAACUUAUAUAAUUUACUCAUUUUAAGGGUACAAUUAAAUUAUUUUUAGUAAAUUUAGUGAGUUCUGCAACUAACACCAUUAUUCCAGUUUUGUAAUGUUUUUACCACCCCAGUAACAUUUUUCAUACCACUUUACAGUUAACCUUUGUUCCCAUCCUCACCCCCAGGCAAAUACUAAUCUACUUUCAUCUAUGUUGAUUUGCCCUUUCUGGACCUUCCAUACAAUUAGAAUCAUAUAACAUAUAGUAUUUUAUGUCUCAGUUCUUUUACAUGGGUUAAUUAUUUUGAGGUUUGUCUAUAUUAUUAUAUGUAUCAGCCUUUCAUUUAGUUUAUUUGUAAAUAAUAUUCAAUUGUGUCAAUAUGUCUCAUUUUCUUUCUCCAUUAAACACUUGAUGGGAAUUUAAGUAGUUUCUGUGUUUUGGCAAUUAUCAAUUAUGCGUCUGUUGACAUUCAUGUGGAAAUAUUUAAGCGGACGUGCUUUCAUUUCUCUUAUGUAGGAUUUUUUGGAUAAUAUGGUAAUUUGACUUUUUAAGAAUCUGGCAAACUCUUUUCCAAAGUGACUGUACUACAUUACAUUCCUAUCAGCAAUAUAUGAGGGUUAGUGAUUUUCUACAUAUUUGUCUACAUUUAUUACUGUCUUUUAUUAAAACCAUUUUUGUGAAAGUAAAAUUAUCUCAUUGUGGUUUUAUUGCAUUUCCUUAAUGACUAAUGGAGUAGGAAAUAUUUCAUGUUCUUAUUAGCCAUUCUUCUUUGGUGAAAUGUGUAUUUAAAUCUUUUGCAUAAUUUUUAAAUCUGGCAAUAGAAGUUGUCCAAAUCUGUACUUUUGUCUGUUCAGGGUCUUUUGCAUUUUUAUGUGAAUUUUAGAAUAAACUUGUUAAUUUCUGAAAAAAGCCUGCUGUUAUUUUGAUAGGGAAUGUAAUGAAUCUAUAUAGAUUAGUUUUGGGAGAAUUACCAUCUUAGCUAUAAUAACGCAUCUUUUUUUUUUUUUUUUUUCUUCUGAGAUGGAUUCUUGCUCUGUUACCCAGGCUGGAGUACAGUGGCACGAUCUUGACUCACUGCAAAUCCCACCUCCCGGGUUCAAGCAAUUCUCCUGCUUCAGCCUCCCGAGUAGCUGGGAUUACUGGUGCCCAUCACUGCACCCAGCUCAUUUUUUUGUACUUUUAGUGGAGACAGGGUUUUACCAUGUUGGCCAGGCUGGUCUUGAACUCCUGACCUCAUGAUCCACCCGCCUCGGCCUCCCAAAGUGCUGGGAUUACAGACGUGAGCCACUGCGCCCAGCCAAUAACGCAUCUUAAACAUGAAAUAUCUCCCCAUUUAUUUUGGUCUUUUAAAAUUUUCUUCAACAACAUUGUGUAGCUUUCUUUAUACAAAUCUUGCAGGUGUUUUGUUGAAUUAUUCCUAAAGAUUUAGUCUUUUUGGUGCUAUUUUGUAUGGAAUUGAUUUCUUAAUUUCAUUUUUGGAUCAUUCAUUGCUAGUAUGAAAACAGAACAAUUUAUUAUAUAGGUUUUUUGUUUUUUUUUUUUUUUUUAGAUGGAGUUUUUGCUCUUGUUGCCCAGGCUGGAGUGCAGUGGUGGAUAUUGGCUCACUGCAACCUCUGUCUUCUGGGUUCAAGCAAUUCUCCUGCCUUCUGAGUAGCUAAGUAUUACAGGCGCCCACCACCACGCCUGGCUAAUUUUUUUGUAUUUUUAGUAGAGAUGGGAUUUCAUCACGUUGGCCAGGCUGGUCUUGAACUGCUGACCUCAGGUGAUCCACCCACCUCAGCCUUCCAAAGUGCUGGGAUUACAGGUGUGAGCCACCGCACCCAGCCUAUAGGUUUGUAUUCUACAGCCAACUCUUCUCAGAGGAAGUAUAGAUAGAUAUGUAUACUAACCCAUGUAUAGCUACAUAUUUAUACACAUUUUUAUAUGUAACUAUCGAUUUUUUUAAGUUAAAUGUGAGUUCAUACUGGUAUUUCUAACUAAUCCAUUACCACAUGGUUAAUUCUAGUCAUAUCUCCUUGUUUGUCUGUCCUCACUCUCUCACUCCAAUAGGAAAGAGCCUGUCUCCUAACAUUUACCAUUCAUUUACAUAAUUGUACUAUCCCAUUAUACAGGUAUAACUGUUUCAGAAUUGUUGAUUUUUACCCUUACUGGAAACAACUCUAUCAACUGGAGUAUAAUGCUUAUGUAUAGCUUCUUUUGCAUUUAGUCUUACAGACUCCACUUAUUAAUGGUGAGAGACUGGACAUACUGCUCAGAUCGGGAACAAUGCAAAGAUGUCCUCUCUCACCACUCCUAAUACAAGAAAAGGAAAUAUAGACUGGAAGGGAAAAAAUAAAUCUUUAUUUGUAGAUUAUAAGAUUGUCUACAUAGACGUUUUUAGAGCAUCUCCAGAAACCUAGAACUAACAAAUGGGAGUAAGAAGGACACAAGGUAUUACAGUUACUUUUCAUUUUCUGUUAGUUUUGGCAUCUCAUAUUUAAGUCUGGUUUUCAAGAUUGCAUUCUUUUCAGAUGGUAUUUUUUUCUUUGUUUUUGUAUACAUUAUAAUGUUGAGAGUCAAACAUAUAAAGUAGUAGAUACUGAGGUAUAUAUAUGUAUUUUCUUUGCGAUAAGCACACCUUUCCUUCAUCUAGGCUAUUAGCGUGGAGGUUUUUGUGAAAUUAGUCAGGAGUUGGUCUGGGAUUGAAGUUUUGUUGUUACCAUGGUUACUCUCUGUGUAUCAGAAACUUCAAACCCUAUAAUGAUACCUUGUUUUUGUGUCCUUGUUUGGCGUGGGUUUUCACCUUUUCACUCUUCUCUAGAGAAGGCCUGUGGUUUUCAGCUUUCCCCUGUGCAUUACUUUAAUUUUAUUUGAUGUUUAGUCUGUGGUUGGGGCGAAAAAGAGGCAUGUUCUCUAAUGUUCUAAUUUAAACUCAGUCUUAAGUAGGCACUGUGAAUCUGGGUCUUGUGGGUGUGGCUGUCAUAAGUCUUUCUUUUCCAGUCAAUGCCUAGUAUUUAUUCCCAUUCCUCCCCUAUGGCUAAAGCUUUAUGUGUUCCUUACCUCCUUACCCAGCCCCUGUUGCUUCCACUCCAGGGUGUCCCUGCAAAUUGCUCUAAGGUUUUUGCUUCUUAGGCGAGAUAGGAGACGGGCCUCUGGGGAAUUUUGGUCUGCUUUAUAUUCCCUUCCACUGCUUCAUGAUCUUUUCUGUAAAUGAAGAACUUUUUUUGGUGGGGCGUGGUGGUUCACGCCUGUAAUCCCAUCACUUUGGGAGGCCGAGGCGGGCGGAUCACCUGAGGUCAGGAGUUUGAGACCAGCCUGACCAACAUGGAGAAACCCUGUCUCUACUUAAAAUACAAAAUUAGCUGGGUGUGGUGGUGCAUGCCUGUAAUCCCAGCUACUCAGAAGGCUGAGGCAGGAGAGUCACUUGAACCCGGGAGGUGGAGGUUGCGGUGAGCCGAGAUCGCGCCAUUGCACUCCAGCCUGGGCAACAAGAGCGAAACUUUUUUUUUUUUUAAGAAAGGUAGAUUGGGGCAGAUUUUCAGCCAUAGCUGCUACUCCUUUCCCCCAGAUAGUACCAAAGGGGUCUUUCUCUGUGAUCUCUGAUCUUUCCUGUGGCUUCCUAUUGAUAACAGCUGCAGGUGGCUGCAACCCCACCCCCAUAUUUGAAACCUGAGGGGAUUCCUAUUCUCAGGCCAGCCCACACUUGGCCUUUAGCAAUUUAUUGUAAUUUCUAGUUAAAUCUUUCUACCUGCUUUUAUAUUGAUUUUCAUGGCAUUUGUCCCAGUAAUCAAAUGCUCAGAUUCUGUUUUCCCCUGCAGGCACCUACCAUUUUUUUAGAUUUCUGUAUUUUUUUUUUUCCUGUAACUUCAGUUCUCUGAUAGGGUCAAGAAAAUCAUAACUUUGCUUUUGUCAAGCCUUUUCUAAGUGAGGUAGUGAUGUUGUUUCUAGUGCCCUAUAUAUUUGAGAUUUGUUGUCUUUGUUAUUUUUGUUUAUUUCUGUUUCUUAUUUUUUCUUCUGUAUCAUUUGAACAUUUUUUAGUAUUUUAUUUUAUUUAUUUAUUUUUUUUUGAGAUGGAGUUUCGCUCUUGUCGCCCAGGCUGGAAUGCAGUGGUGUGAUCCCAGCUCACUGCAACCUCCGCCUCCCGGGUUCAAGCGAUUCUCCUGCCUCAGACUCCCAAGUAGCUGGGGUUACAGGUGCCCGCCACUAUGCCUGGCUCAUUAUUUUUAUGUUCAGUAGAGACGGGGUUUCACCAUGUUGGUCAGGCUUGUUUUGAACUCCUGACCUCAGGUGAUCCACCUGCCUUGGCCUCCCAAAGUGCUGGGAUUACAGGCGUGAGCCACCGCGCCCAGGCUUUAAUAUUCCAUUUUAAUUAUCUUUAUUUAUUUAUUUAUUUUGAGACAGAGUCUCGCUCUGUUGCUCAGGCUGGAGUGCAAAUGGCACAAUCUCAGCUCACUGCAACCCCCGCCUCCUGGGUUCAAGCACUUCUUCUGCCUCAGGCUCAUGAGUAGCUGAGACUAACUACAGGUGCAUGCCAUCACGCCCAGCUAAUUUUUGUAUUUUCAGUAGAGGCAGGGUUUUGCUAUGUUGGCCAGGGUAGUCUCGAACUCCUGACCUCAGGUAAUCUGCCUGCCUCGGCCUCCCAAAGUGCUGGGAUUAUAGGCAUGAGCCACCGUGCCCGGUCUUAAUUAUCUUUUAUACAUUCGAAUUGUCUCAUAAAUACAUAUCUAACAGUUUAUGUAGAUUCAGUGUUUUACCACUUCAGGUAAAACAUAGAAGCCUUACAUCCAUAUAAAGCUCUUUAUACUCCCUCACUGAUUCUUUAAGUAGUUGCCAUGUGUUUUACAUUUGCAUUGUGUUUCUGCUUUCAGGAGUCAUACAUAUUUUAAAGAACUUAAGAGGAGAAAAAUAGUCUUUUAUAUUUACUCAGUAAUUUACCACUUCUUUUUUUUUUUUUUAAACCAGUUCUUUGUUCUCUCAUUUUUAAAGAUCUAAGCUUUCCCUGGGUAUCAUUUCCCUUCAGACUAAAGAACUCCCUUUAUCAUUUAAUCAGCACUCUGCUUGAGGUGAAUUGUCUUAAUUUCCCUUCAUCUAGGAAUGUGUUCAUUUCACCUUCAUUCCUGAAAGACAUUUUCAAUCACUGGAUAUAGAAUUGUUAAUUGAUGGGAUUUUUUUCUUGUUGCUCUUUAAAGUUAUUUUUCUACUACUGUCCUUCAUCGUUUCUGAUAAAAAAUUUGCCGUCGUUUGAAUCAUUGCUUCCUCAGAUGUAAUGUGCUGUUUUUUUAAUAGCUGCUUUCAAAUUUUUUCCUUUGUCUUUGAUUUUCAACAGUUUAUAGUAUUUCUGGGUGUGUCUUUUCAGUUUAUAUUGUUUGGUUUUGCUGAAGUUGUUUAAUAUGUAGAUUUAUCUUUUAUCAGAUUGGGAAGUUUUUGGCUGUUAUUUCUACAAACUUUUUUUCUGCAUGAUUUUUUUUUCUCAUUCUGAGACUAUGAUGACAUGUAUAUUAGAUAUUGUGAUAUUGUUCCAUAGGUCCUGAGGUGCUGUUUGUUCUGUUUCAAUCUAUUUUUUAUUUAUUUAUUUAUUUUAUUAUUUUUUUUGAGACGGAGUCUUGCUCUGUCGCCCAGGCUGGAGUGCAGUGGCAUGAUCUCAGCUUACUGCAAGCUCCGCCUCUCGGGUUCACGCCAUUCUCCUGCCUCAGCCUCCCAAGUAGCUGGGAGUACAGGCACCUGCCACCAUGCCCAGCUAAUUUUUUUGUAUUUUUAGUAGAGACGGGGUUUCACCAUGUUAGCCAGGAUGGUCUUGAUCUCCUGACCUCGUGAUCCGCCCGCCUCAGCCUCCCAAAGUGCUGGGAUUACAGGCUUGAGCCACCGCGCCUGGCUCAAUCUAUUUUUUAAUUCUAUUUUUCAGAUUGGGUAAUUUCUGUUGAUCUGUCUUCAAAUUCUGUUUCAUGUUCCUGGCUGCAUUCUGUUAUUGAGAUCUUCAGUGGAUAUUUUUUAUUGUGAAUGUUGUAUGUUUUCAUUAAAAAAACUCAAUUUGGUUCUUUAAGUGUUAUUAAGGUAUAAUAUCAUACCAUAAAAUUAUCUAUUGUAAGUAUACAAUUCACCUAGUUUUAGUAAACUUAUGGCUUGAAGUUGUCAUCAUAAUCCAGUUUAGAACAUUUCAUUAUUUCCAAAAGUUUCCUCAAGUCACUUCUGCUCCCAUCCCAGGCUACCGUGAUAUCCUCUGUCUGUAAGUUUACCCUUUCUAGACAUUUCAUGUAAAUGAAAUCGUACGAUAUUUAUUCCGUUGAAUCUGACCUCCUUCAUUUAUUAAAAUGUUUCUGAGAUUUAGUCAUGUGGUAGCAUUAAUAAGUAUUUCAUUCCUUUUUAGAGCUGAAUGUUGUUCAGUUUUACUAAUGUCACAUUUUGUUUCUCCAUGCAGCACUUGACUGAAAGUUGGAUUGUUUCCUUUUUUUGGUGGUGGGGGGGGGCUAUUAUGAUGAAUAAACAUUGCUGUGAACAUUAAUGUAAAUGUCCUAGUAUAUUUUCUUUUCUAUUCUGUAGAUUCUUUGGAAUAGAAUAGCUGGGUUGUACAGCAAAUAUUUAUUCAGCUUUUAAAGAAACUACCAAACUGAUUUCCAAUGUGGAUAUACUAUUUUACAUUUUCACCAGCAAUGUAUGAGUUAACAUUUCUCCACAUCAUCACUUGUUAUUACCUGAUUAUAGCCAUUCUAAUUGGUGUGAAGUAGUAUCUCAUUAUGAUUUUGUUUUGCAUUUUCUUAAACUGUAUGAGAUUGAGCAUCUUUUCAUUUGCUUAUUGGUCAUUUGUAUGUCUUUGAUGAAAUAUCUAUUUAAAUCUUUUCUCCAUUUAAAGUUAUUUUCUUAUUGCAUUGUAAGAGUUCUUUAUAUGUAUUUUGUACUCAAGUGUUUUAUCAGAAAUAUGAUUUACAUAUUUUUUCUCAGUCUGUAGCUUGUCUUUUUAUUUUCUUAAUGGUGUCAUUUGAAGUGCUAAAAUUUUUAAUUUUCGUGAAGUCCAUUACAUCAGUUAUUUUCUGUGUCUCAUUUUUCAUAAGUUUUAUACUCUGUUGAUUAGUUUUAAAGUAAGUUUUAAAGUUGGGUAGUGACAGAUCUCCUACUUUGUUGUUUUUCAAAAUUAUUUCAGGUGAUCCACAUUCUUUGCAUUUAAAAUGAGCUUGCAAUUUUCUACAAAAAAAGCCUUCUGGGAUUUUGAUAGGGAUUGUAUUGAAUUUAUAGAUCAACAUGAUGAGACGUGCCUUCAUAAUUAUAUAUUGCAUUGUCAAAUCCAUGAACAAGGAUUUUCAUAUAUUUUCAUCCAUUUAUAUAUCUACUUCAAUUUCUCCAUGCAAUAUUUUGCAGUUUUUAAUGUAUAAAUCUUUCUCUUCUUUUGUUAAAUUUAUUCUUAAGUAUUUUACUCUUUUUGAUGCUAUUCAGAAUAGAGUUCUCUUAAUUUCAGUUUAUUGCUAGUAUAUAGAUAUAUAGUUGAUUUUAAUCUUGUAUCCGAUUACUUCCUUAAACUUUGUUAUAGUAGUUUUACUGUGAAAUUCUUAGGUUAAGAAUAAGGAUUUCAUAAUAGAACUACAAAUAGGAUCAUUUCAUAUGCAAAUAAGGACAAUUUUAUUUCUUCUCCAAUCUCAUUGUCUUUAAUUUUUUUUCCUUAUUUACUGCCUAGAACUCCUAGUACAGCGUUGACUAGAAGUGGUGAGAAAGCUGGCACAGUGGCUCAUGCAAGUAAUCCCAGCGCUUUGGGAGGCCAGGGCGGGUGGAUCGCUUGAGUCCAGGAGUUCAAGACUACCCUGGGCAACAUGGCGAAACCCUGUCUCUACAAAAAAAAAAUAUAUAGUAGCCAGGCAUGGUGGCAUGCGCCUGUAGUCCCAGCUGCCAGGGAGGCUGAGGUGGGAGGAUUACUUGAGUCUGGGAAGUCAAGGCUGCAGUGAGCCAUGAUUGUGCCACUGCACUCCAGCCUGGGCAACAGAGACCCCGUCUCAAAGAAAAACAAACAACUCCCCCCCCACCACACACAAAAGGAGUGGUGAGAAUGGGAAUCUAUGUCUUAUUCCCAUCUUCUGGAGAAAGUAAAGCAUUAAGUCUUUCUCCAUUAAGAAUGACGUUAGUUAUAGGUUUUUGUUAUUGUUGUCUUAUAGGUUUCUUUUGUUAGAUUAAGUAAGUUCUUUUUCAUUCUCACUUUUAGGAGAGUUUUAAAGCCUUGAAUGGGUUUUCAGUUUAGUCAAAUGCUAUUUUUAUGUCCAUCGAGGUGAUAAUAUAUAUAUUUUAAAUGUAAUAUAUUGAACUGCAUUGAUUGAAUUUUGAGUUAUGAAACAGGCCUACAUUUUAUGAUAAACCCUACUUUCUCAUGAUAUAAUUUAUCCAAUUUGCAUAUUGUUGGAUUAGAUUUCCUAAUAUUUUGUUAAGAAUUGUUGCAUUUGAGUCAACUUAGGUACCCAAAUGGUUGGCUAGAUAAAAUGUGGUAUAUUUAUAUCAUGUAAUACUAUACAGCCAUAAAAAAUGAAACCAUGUCCUUUGCAGCAACAUGGAUAUAGCUGGAGACCUUUAUCCUAAGCAUAUUAAUGCAGGAACGGAAAAGCAAAUACCCCAUGUUCUCCCUUAUUCAUGAGAACUAAACAUGAGUACACAUGUUCACAUAAAUGUCUAAUGUGAACAAUAGACACCAGGGCCUACUCAAGAGAGGGUGGUGGAAGGAGGGUGAAGAUCAAAAAACUACCUAUUGGGUACUAUGCUCACUACCUGGGUGAUUAAAUAAUUUGUACACCAAACCCCAGUGACACAGAAUUUACCCAUGUAACAAAACUGCACAUGUAUACCUUGAAACCAAAAUAAAAGUUGAAAAAAAAAAAAAAACCACCCAUGGAUUGUUGCAUUUAUCUUCAUGAGGAAGAUUGGAAUGUGAUUUCCUUUUCUUAUAAUGUCUUUAUGAGGUUUUAGUAUCACGGUGUUUAUGGCCACAUUAAAAUGAGUAGGACAGUAAGUAAUACCUCUUCAGUUUUCUGUAAUGAUUUUUUUAGAAUCCAUAUUUUAUUUUAUUUUAUUUUUUUGAGACGGAGUCUUGCUUUGUUGCCCAAGCUGGAGUGCAGUGGCGUGAUCUCGGCUCACUGCAACCUCUGCCGCCUCGUUUCAAGCGAUUCUCCCUGCCUCAGUCUCCCAAGUAGCUGGGAUUGCUGGUGUGCGCCACCACAUCCAGCUAAUUUUUUUUGUAUGUUUAGUAGAGAUGGGGUUUCACCAUGUUGGCCAGGCUGGUCUGGAACUCCUGACCUCAGAUCAUCCGCCCACCUCGACCUCCCAAAGUGCUGGGAUUACAGGUGUGAGCCACUGCAUCCGGCCUAGAAUCCAUAUUUUUUAAUCCUUGAAUGUUUUGGUAGAAUUCACUUGUGAAUUUAUCAGUGAAACAGCUUGGUCUGUUGUUUUCCUUAUGGAAGUUUUAAAAUUACUAAUUCUAUGUCAUUAAUGGAUAUAUGAAUAUUCAGGUUAUAUGUAGAUAUAUUUGUUGUUGUUGUGUUGUUUUGUUUUGUUUUUUGAGAUGAAGUCUCGUUCUUGUCCCCCAGGCUGGAGUGCAAUGGCGCCAUCUCGUCUCACUGCAACUUCCGCCUCCCGGGUUCAAGCGAUUCUCCUGCCUCAGCCUCCCAAGUAGCUGGGAUUACAGGUGCCUGCCACCACGCCCGAUUUUUUUUUUUUUUUCUUUUGAGACAUUCUCACUCUGUUGCCCAGGCUGGAGUGCACUGUGCAAUGGUGUGAUCGCGGCUCACUGCAACCUCCACCUCCGGGGUUCAAGUGAUUCUUGAGUCUCAGCCUCCCAAAGUACCUGGGACUAUAGGUGCGCACCACCACACCCGGCUAAUUUUUGUAUUUUUAGUAGCCACAGUGUUUCACCAUGUUGGCCAGGCUGGUCUCAAACUCCUAACUUCAGGUGAUCAGCCCGCCUCAGCUUCCCAAAGUGUUGGGAUUAUAGGUCUGAGCCACUGUGCCCAGCCAGGUUAUAUAUUUUUUGAACGAGCUUUGGUAGUUUGUAUCUUUUUUUUUUUUUUUUUUUUUGGAGACAGGGUCUCACUCUCUUGCUCAGACUGGAGUGCAGUGGCACGAUCUCGGCUCACCAGCACCCUCCACCUGGAGCGAUCUUGGCUUACUGGCACCCUCCACCUCCCAGGCUCAAAUGAUUCUCCUACCUCAGCCUCCCGAGUACCUGGGAUUACAAGUGCACACCAUUACCACCCAGCUAAUUUUUGUAUUUUUAGUAGAGACAGAGUUUUGCUAUGUUGACCAGGCUGGUCUUGAACUCCUGACCUCAAAUGAUCUACCUGCCUCGGCCUCCCAAAGUGCUGGGAUUACAGGUGUGAGCCACCGCACCCGGCCUCUAUAUUCUUUGGUAGUUUGUAUCUUAAGGAAUUAAAAGAUAAAAGGUGGAUAAGAAAAGAUUACUAAGGAAGUUAUUUCAUCGAUUUUUGGUUUGGUGUUUAUUAUUUUCUUAUUUUCUGCUUGCUUUUUGUUUAAUUUGUUCUUUUUCUAGUUUCUUAACUCCAAGUCACUGAAUUGAGGUUUUUCUUUUUCAAAUUGGCAUUUUGUGCUGUUUUUUUCUACAUACGUUUUUUGGUGUCACCCCACAUAUUCUGACAUUUUCAUUUUGAUUCUGUUCAAUAUACUUUCUGAUUUCCCUCUUGAUUUCUUUUUGGUCCUGGAAUGUGCUAUUUAGUUUAUGUAUAUUUAGGGAUAUUUCAGAGAUGUUUCUGUGACUGUUACCUAUUUUAAUUCUCAUAUGGUCAAAGAAUAUACUUUGUAUGAAUUACAUUUUUUAAAAAUUGGUUCAAGAUUGUUUUAUGACCCAGAAUGUGGUAUGUCUUGGUAAAUGUUCAGUGUCUUCUUUAAAAAAUGUGUGUUCUGCCAUUGUUGACUGAAGAGUUAUAAAAUAUCAGCUAGGUCAAGUAAGUCAUUUGAGUUUUCAAGUCUUUUAUAUCCUUAGUGAUUUUUCUAUCCACUUCUGUCAUUUAUGGAGAAAGAUAUAUUGAAGUCUUUCAAUCUAAUUGUGAAUUAGUCUGUUUUUCCUUGAAAUUCUAGUAAUUCUUGCUUAAUUUAUUUUGAAGCUCUGCAUAGACUUUUAACACUGUUAAGUCUAUCUUAACUUCUUUGUCAUUAUGAAAUGGUCUUCAUCCAUGGUAGUAUUCUUUGUUCAGAAAUCUGCUUUGUCUGCCCAAGGGGUCUUUGGUCUGUAGGAAAUUAACCCAUGAAGGAAAGAAAACUUGGAAAAAUAAUUUAAAAAAUGAUUGUUUUUUAAACAUAAAUCAUUUUUAAAUUAUUGAUUCCAAGGGAUUGCUGAUAAUAAAUUUGUUCAGGCUGUGUUAAGACUUGCAUCUUUUUUUUUUUUUUUUUUUUUUGAGACAGAGUUUCGCUCUUACUACCCAGGCUGGAGUGCAAUGGCGCAUCUCGGCUCACUGCAACCUCCGCCUCCUGGGCUCAAGUGAUUCUCCUGCCUCAGCCUCCUGAGUAGCAGGGAUUACAGGCAUGUGCCACCACACCUGGCUAAUUUUGUAUUUUUAGUAGAGACGAGGUUUCUCCAUGUUGGUCAGGCUGGUCUCAAACUUCCGACCUCAGGUGAUCCACCCACCUCGGCCUCCCAAAGUGCUGGGAUUACAGGUGGGAGCCACCGUGCCCGGCCAUUGCAUCAAUUUUUUAGUAAUAGAUGAUGAAGGCGAGUGCUAAAACUGUGAAGACUUAGAACAUUUUAAUAUUUCUGAAAAUUAACUUUUUUCAGUUUUGAAAAUUACAGCUUCUAAAUAAAAUACUGAAUUUUUAAAAACAAAAUUAGAUUUAAAUAUAUAAUGUUUAAAGAUAAAAAGUUUUAUGAUAAAAUAUGCCACAAACAAUUCGAAAGAUACCUAACUUGCUUUGUGUAUAAAAGGUAAAUAAAGGCUUGGCUGGGCAUGGUGGCUCACAGGAGGCUGAGACAACAAUCACUUGAGCUUAGGAGUUUGAGACUAGCCUGGUGGGUAACAUGGCGAAACCCAAUCUCGACCAAAAAUACAAAAAUUAGCUGGGCAUGGUAGUGUGCGUCUGUAGUCCCAGCUACUCAGGAGGCUGAGGCAGGAGGAUCCCUUGAGCCCAGGAGGUGGAGGUUGCUGUGAGCUGAGAUCACGCCAUUUCCAGCCUGGGUGACAGAGUAAAACCCUGUUCCAAAAAAAGAUAAAGGCUUGCUAUUUAUGCCAUUUCAAGGAAUUAGUAAGAAAAAUCGUAGAUUAAUGGGUAAAAUAAAUGAAUAGUUAAUUCAAUGGCAGUGCUUAUCCAAUCAAUAAAAGACAUAAAAAUGAUACUGAAGUAAAUGCAAAUUUGUAGUGUUAGUACAAGAUCCUUUCUCAUCUACUUUAUUGGGAUAAAAUUAACUGGAUACAACUACUGUUGGCAGUGAUGGGGAAAGGUUACUUUUAUAUAUUGCUUGUGGGAACUGUGAAUUUUCACUUUCUUUUUUGGAUAGGUAGUGCUUUGGCCUCAUCAGGGAGCUCCUGCUUUAAGCACCUCUUCAUGCUUUGAGGCCACAUUUGUUACUCAGACUUUACAACAGUGGCUUUGAGUUCUGCCCUGUUUCUGGUACCUGAGGAAUUUCUUCUCAUCCUUUUGGUAUUUCUUAUGUAUUUUUAUUGUUUUGUUUUGUUUUAUUCAGCAUUUCUACUUUCUGUUGCUUUGGGUGAGGUUUUCUAUAGCACUUAAGUUCACCAUGACGACUGGAGCACAUCACAAUUUUUUUUAUAACCAGACAAGUUGUCCUGCAAAUAUUAAGGAGACUGGCAGAUGUUAUCAAAUAUAAAAUAACUAUUGGGAUUAACAUCUAUAAACCCUUCUUGAUCAAGGUAUUUAACAGUCAAUUAUAGUUAACCAAGAAGUAAACAAAAAUAACACUGGAAUAGAAGAAAUGUGACAGUGGGCUGGUGCUAUUCAUUGAAUCCAUGUAAGUAUUGAACUAGAAGAGCAACUGAGGGAAUUAAGAUUGCAUAAUAAAAUGUUUUUCUGAAAGGUGUAGGAAUAAUUAUUGAGUGCUAAUCUUAUCAUGGUAUGGUGCCAAUACUUACUCUAAAGUUACUAUGUGGUAAAACAUUUUAUAUAUAUAUUAUAUGUG
rnacentral:lncRNA from 1 species